AGUCUCAGCCCACUCCCGUGCGUGCUGGAUAGGGUUCCCCGCCACCCUCACCGGUCGCCGCCGUCCUCACCGGUUGCCGCCGCCGUCGGUUUCCCCUACAUGGCUGGAGGAUAGGCCAUCCCGCCGGUCCAUUCCCGCCCCACUGUGAGGGAGGAGACUGACCAGUUGCUCCUCCCCGCCGGUCGCCACCCGCCACCCCAAGGAUCAAGGCCGGCCGCGCCGGUCCCUGUCGGUCGCUGCUCCGGAUCCAGGCCGCCCACCGCCCCGCCCCCGUUAGCCCGAUCUAUUUCCCACCGGAUCCCAUCUUCGCCGCCGUCCGACGCGCCUUCUUCAAGGAGCUGCGACCCCAUGUCUCAGAGGAGCUAGCCCCGACGCCAUUGAUGCCCGAGCGACGCUCCCAAGCUAGGAGCGGCACCAGGACAACCACGCCCCCGAAGCCUAAACUGCAAGUUUAUUUUCAGAGUACUUGUUGUGUGCAAAAUCCUACCCUGGCGCAUGUUGUUGGUUGUUUAAUUCUGGAAUCACAAGUUAAUGCAUUUUGCUAUGUGGGUACCCAGCCAUCCAGUAUGUCGUCUGCAUUCCUAAUGGCUCUUCUAUCCGUGCAUCAACACCAAUAUUGGAUACAAGCUUUCCAAUCGCCACAACAUCUUGGUCUGGAAGGACAGAAGCGGCAUGAGAUUUCUUAGAUUUUGAUGGAUACAUGCACAAUGAGGAUGAUGCCAAAUUUGGGCAACUACAUUGCCGUCUCACCCCACUCACCCUCAGGUUUGUCUUCUGCCUUUUUCUGUUCUAUUCUAAUGGUACUUGAUGCUCCCUGGAUGGAAUUAGUACAUGAAUGUUGUUUGAAGUGUGAGCUUGGAUUCAGGUCGAUUGGCUGAGUAAGUGGACUAAAAUUAAGCAAACAUAU